GAUCCUGGCUCAGGAUGAACGCUAGCUACAGGCUUAACACAUGCAAGUCGAGGGGCAGCGGGAAGUCAGCUUGCUGACUUUGCCGGCGACCGGCGCACGGGUGAGUAACACGUAUCCAACCUUCCCGUUACUCUGGAAUAGCCUUUCGAAAGAAAGAUUAAUACCGGAUAGUAUCGAGAGCUUGCAUGAUAACCCGAUUAAAGAUUCAUCGGUAACGGAUGGGGAUGCGUUCCAUUAGGCAGUUGGG
rnacentral:rRNA from 1 species